rnacentral:snRNA from 1 species
AUCACUUCUCGGCCUUUUGGCUAAGAUUAAGUGUAGUAUCUGUUCCUAUCAAUUUAAUAUCUGAUACGUCCUCUAUCCAAGGACAAUAUAUUAAGUGGAUUUUUGGAGCUGGGAGUUGGAAUAGGAGCUUGCUCCGUUCACUCCACGCAUCAACCUGGUAUUGCAGUACUUCCAGGAACAGUGCACCCCUU